UCCCUUCCGCCAUCCCCGCCCGAGAUUUCAGCAACAAAACAUCAAUCGACAUUCCUUCUUCUACUCCCGAGCGUGCUCCGCCGCCCAGCCGCGCUGUACUAGCUUCCUACGCGCGCUCGGCGUCCCCGACCAACAAGCGAGCGGGCCAGGUGUGUGCGAUGCAGCGCCGACGCGAGGAGGCAUGACGUAGCGGUGAGCACGGAGGCCGCUAUGCCCGCGCCAGCUUUCCUUUGCAUCCAGGUGCUCGCGCUGCUUCCUCCCUCGUGUGGGCUGCCCCGCCGUCUCCUUGCCCUCCCACACGGCGGCGACCUUGGCGGCCUCAUUCCGGGAAAGGUGUGGUGAUUCCUUUCCAUUCCUAUUGCCCCCCAGCCCCUAAUCCUCUGCUGCGGCACGCGUUUGGGGCAGCAACAUUUUUUUGCAGGCGGUGGGGGAGUGGGGGAGUGCAGUUCGUCCUCCUCAUCCACGGCGGCGUCCCGCCUCCGAGGCCUCAUCUAUUUCCGUGGACCCAUCCUCCCUGUGGAGCCAUGGCCCAUGGGGCGCGCUGACGAUCGCCGCCUUCGCCAUGUCCCUGCUGCAGCAGUAAGCCGUGCUCAAGAGUUUUAGUCGGGACUUUCUCGCCAGUUUGCUUGGUGAUUGGAUCUGGGAAAGAACAAAGGCAUUGUUAGCACUGGAUUUCGGUAACUGCAUUUGGGCAUCUAGGAAACAGUAACGCAUUCAGAUUGCAUUGCAGAGGGAACGGGCAUAUUGCAAUAAUCAGCUAGCCUGUUUGAGGCUCCAAAAUUGCCAACAAUUUGGUUGGGAAACGGGGGCUGGCCAAUUUCAGAACAUUCACUUACAACAACCAAUGCCAAUAGAAGGCUGGUUUUGAUUUAGUUAGCUGCACAAUCAAGAACCAAGGUUGCCCAAUUCAAAAACAGAACUUCAUGGGAACCCCAUUAGAGAUCAUUGCUUUCAGAUGUAUCAUCGGAUGGUAAGCUAUGGAUACGUUGGACAUCAUCAACAGAAUGAAUGUGUUAGUGUCACCGACGCGCCCAAGGCAGAGGGAAUUCAAAAAUCAAAUGGUAUGGUCUUUGGGUGUAAAAUGAGAUACCGACCUUGUAACUGAAUUUCUAUGUAAUUGGUAAUUGGUUGAGAGUUUUAAAAAGAGAUUCUAUUUGGUUGGUUCUGCCUAUAUUUUACGAAAGAAAUAACAAUGAGAUAAUUCAGUGAAA